rnacentral:rRNA from 1 species
CCUACGGGAGGCAGCAGUGAGGUAUAUUGCUCAAUGGGCGAAACCCUGAACCAGCGACGCCGCGUGAGCGAAGAAGUAUUUCGGUAUGGAAAGCCCUAUCAGCAGGGGAGAAAAGGUGACGGUACCUGAGUACGAAGCACCGGCUAAAUACGUGCCAGCAGCCGCGGUAAUACGUAUGGUGCACGCGUUAUCCGGAUUUACUGGGUGUAAAGGGAGCGCAGGGGGGACUGCAAGCCUGAUGUGAAAGCUCGCGGCCCAACCGCGGGACUGCCGUGGAAACUACCGGGCUGGAGUGCCGGAGAGGUAGGCGGAAUGCGUAGUGUAGCGGUGAAAUGCGUAGAUAUCAGGAGGAACACCAGUGGCGAAGGCGGCCUACUGGACGGUGACUGACGCUGAGGCUCGAAAGCGUGGGGAGCAAACAGGAUUAGAUACCCCUGUAGUC